rnacentral:rRNA from 1 species
UGUUGCGGUUAAAAAGCUCGUAGUUGGAUCUCGGCAGGCAGGGGGCGGUUCGAUAUCUGUCGUUACUGCCCCAUUUGCCUGUGUGAUUGGCGGAGGUUUCGGGGUGCUCUUAACCGAGUGUGCCGAGAUGCCGUCAGGUUUACUUUGAAAAAAUUAGAGUGCUCAAAGCAGGCAUCAUCGCUUGAAUAUUCGUGCAUGGAAUAAUGGAAUAGGAACUCGUUUCUAUUUUGUUGGUUUUCGGAAAUCGAGUUAAUGAUUAAUAGGGACAAGUGGGGGCAUUAGUAUUCAUACGACAGAGGUGAAAUUCUUGGACCUCCUGAAGACUAACUACUGCAUAAAGCAUUUGCCAAGAGUGUUUUCAUUAAUCAAGAA